GACGAACGCUGGCGGCGUGCUUAACACAUGCAAGUCGAACGGAGAGGCCCUGCUUUUGUGGGGUGCUCGAGUGGCGAACGGGUGAGUAACACGUGAGUAACCUGCCCUUGACUUUGGGAUAACUUCAGGAAACUGGGGCUAAUACCGGAUAUGAGCUCCUGCUGCAUGGUGGGGGUUGGAAAGUUUCGGCGGUUGGGGAUGGACUCGCGGCUUAUCAGCUUGUUGGUGGGGUAGUGGCUUACCAAGGCUUUGACGGGUAGCCGGCCUGAGAGGGUGACCGGCCACAUUGGGACUGGGGUACGGCCCAGACUCCUACGGGAGGCAGCAGUGGGGAAUAUUGCACAAUGGGCGGAAGCCUGAUGCAGCAACGCCGCGUGCGGGAUGACGGCCUUCGGGUUGUAAACCGCUUUCGCCUGUGACGAAGCGUGAGUGACGGUAAUGGGUAAAGAAGCACCGGCUAACUACGUG
rnacentral:rRNA from 1 species